GACGAGCGCUGGCGGCGUGCUUAACACAUGCAAGUCGAACGAUGAAGCGGGUGCUUGCACUCGUGGAUUAGUGGCGAACGGGCGAGUAACACGUGAGUAACCUGUCCUUUUCUUUGGGAUAACGGCUGGAAACGGCUGCUAAUACUGGAUAUUCAGGCUGCAUCGCAUGGUGUGGUUUGGAAAGGUUUUUUCUGGGAUUGGGUGGGCUCGCGGCCUAUCAGCUUGUUGGUGGGGUGAUGGCUUACCAAGGCUUUGACGGGUAGCCGGCCUGAGAGGGUGGUCGGUCGCACUGGGACUGAGAUACGGCCCAGACUCCUACGGGAGGCAGCAGUGGGGAAUAUUGCACAAUGGACGAAAGUUUGAUGCAGCGACGCCGCGUGGAGGGUGUAGGCCUUCGGGUUGUGAACUCCUUUUUCUCGCGAAAAAGGCACAGUUUUGGCUGUGUUGAUGGUAGUGGGGGAAGAAGCGCCGGCUAACUACGUG
rnacentral:rRNA from 1 species